UACGAAGGGGGCUAGCGUUGCUCGGAAUCACUGGGCGUAAAGGGUGCGUAGGCGGGUCUUUAAGUCAGGGGUGAAAUCCUGGAGCUCAACUCCAGAACUGCCUUUGAUACUGAAGAUCUUGAGUUCGGGAGAGGUGAGUGGAACUGCGAGUGUAGAGGUGAAAUUCGUCGAUAUUCGCAAGAACACCAGUGGCGAAGGCGGCUCACUGGCCCGAUACUGACGCUGAGGCACGAAAGCGUGGGGAGCAAACAGG
rnacentral:rRNA from 1 species